UACGUAGGGAGCGAGCGUUGUCCGGAAUCAUUGGGCGUAAAGAGCAUGUAGGUGGUUCAUUUAGUCUGCUGUGAAAGUCAAAGGCUCAACCUUUGAAAGCCGGUGGAUACUGUUGAUCUAGAGUACGGAAGAGGCGAGUGGAAUUCCUGGUGUAGCGGUGGAAUGCGCAGAUAUCAGGAGGAACACCAAUAGCGAAGGCAGCUCGCUGGGACGUUACUGACACUGAGAUGCGAAAGCGUGGGGAGCAAACAGG
rnacentral:rRNA from 1 species